rnacentral:lncRNA from 1 species
CUUCUCCAUGCAUGUCUGUAGGGUAAAUCCAUGAAAGUCCCGAAACCCUCGUCCUAUGAAACAACUUCUAUUUCUGUCAAAGAUACUUAUCAUCUGAAUUUUGAAUUUAGCAUUUUAUAAUUGCCCAGGUCUAUGGUUUUUCAGAUUGUCCAUGUUACCCAGAUUUUAAAAAACAAUGAAUAAGUGAAAUGAACUUUUGCUUAUCUUUUGUGUUUUGUCAAUUUCUACAGGAUCAUAAGACAUUACUCUACCCCAAAGAACAGCUGUAGUCAGUUUUGGAAGACAGUGUCCUGGUGGGAGCUCAAGACAGAGCAUAUAUUCGCUUAGGAAAUGUCACUGUGACACUUCCAGAACACUGUUCAAGCCCUCUGCCAAGCUCUUGUGACGUGGAAGAGGCCUAUCGGAAAUGGUUGUGACUAUAAAGAAGCGUUAAGAGUCUACGUAGUCUACUAGACCAAGCUUUAUCCUGGUACCUAGAAAGGGACCAAACCGAAGCACCACGUCCAGGGAAAAGGAAAUGAAGAUAGACUACUAGCAAGCGUGAAACAUCCCUGGAGCAUACCUAUUUCAACAGCAACAACUUGGAGGCCAAAAAAAAGAGAUUUCCAUUCUUCACAAAACCUCAGAGUGUCAGCAUUUUCUUCUGGCUUUUCCUGGAAAACACCACUGUUUUCAGACUAGCUCUGCUGGGAUAGAAGAGUUGUACUGCUCUGGUUAGGUUACCAAGGUGAGCGGACACUUCUGCAGCACUGUCAGGCUCAUUCGGCCAGUCAUUUAGCAGAGCAAUGUUGAAAAAUAAUUGCAUAUUUAUCCUCCCCUCCCCGAGUCUUUAAAUAUGCAGGGAAAAAGUCACAGAAGAACCAAUAAUGUGACAAGAAUAAUGAGGCUGAAGAACAGUAGUACAGUGUGAACUCAUA